AUUGAACGCUGGCGGCAUGCCUUACACGUGCAAGUCGAACGGCAGCACGGGAGCAAUCCUGGUGGCGAGUGGCGAACGGGUGAGUAAAGUAUCGGAACGUGCCCAGUCGUGGGGGAUAACGUAGCGAAAGUUACGCUAAUACCGCAUACGAUCUAUGGAUGAAAGCGGGGGAUCGCAAGACCUCGCGCGAUUGGAGCGGCCGAGAUCAGAUUAGGUAGUUGGUGGGGUAAAGGCUCACCAAGCCGACGAUCUGUAGCUGGUCUGAGAGGACGACCAGCCACACUGGGACUGAGACACGGCCCAGACUCCUACGGGAGGCAGCAGUGGGGAAUUUUGGACAAUGGGCGAAAGCCUGAUCCAGCCAUGCCGCGUGCAGGAUGAAGGCCUUCGGGUUGUAAACUGCUUUUGUACGGAACGAAAAGGUUUGGCCUAAUAAGCUGAGCUCAUGACGGUACCGUAAGAAUAAGCACCGGCUAACUACGUGCCAGCAGCCGCCGUAA
rnacentral:rRNA from 1 species